AUACUCUGGUUUCUCUUCAGAUAGUAUAAAUCUUUCACCUUUUACUAAAGAUUUCUGUGGAGAGGAACAUUUAUGAGUUCUCUAGACUUUAACAUUGGUUGUCAUAAUUGCUAGG